rnacentral:rRNA from 1 species
UGGGGAAUCUUCCGCAAUGGACGAAAGUCUGACGGAGCAACGCCGCGUGAGUGAAGAAGGUUUUCGGAUCGUAAAACUCUGUCUUUUGGGGCGAACGUGAGUAUGGUGAACAAUCAUAGUCAGUGACGGUACCAAAGGAGGAAGCCACGGCUAACUACGUGCCAGCAGCCGCGGUAAUACGUAGGUGGCAAGCGUUGUCCGGAAUUAUUGGGCGUAAAGAGCGCGUAGGCGGGAUAGUCAGUCUGUUGUAAAGUGCGGGGCUCAACCCCGUGAUGGCAAUGGAAACAGCUAUUCUUGAGUGCAGGAGAGGAAAGUGGAAUUCCCAGUGUAGCGGUGAAAUGCGUAGAUAUUGGGAGGAACACCAGUGGCGAAGGCGACUUUCUGGACUGUGUCUGACGCUGAGGCGCGAAAGCCAGGGGAGCGAACGGGAUUAGAUACCCCCGGUAGUCCUGGCCGUAAACGAUGGGUACUAGGUGUGGGAGGUAUCGACCCCUUUCCGUGCCGGAGUUAACGCAAUAAGUACCCCGCCUGGGGAGUACGGUCGCAAGACUGAAACUCAAAUGAAUUGAC